AGGGUUCGAUUCUGGCUCAGGAUGAACGCUAGCUACAGGCUUAACACAUGCAAGUCGAGGGGCAGCGAGAAGGAAGCUUGCUUCUUGUCGGCGACCGGCGCACGGGUGAGUAACGCGUAUCCAACCUUCCCCUUAGUAGGGCAUAGCCCGUAGAAAUGCGGAUUAAUACCCUAUGUUGUUCGAUGCGGACAUCUAAGUUGAGCCAAAGGUUUACCGCUAAGGGGUGGGGAUGCGUCCGAUUAGGCAGCAGGCGGGGUAACGGCCCACCUGGCCAACGAUCGGUAGGGGUUCUGAGAGGAAGGUCCCCCACAUUGGAACUGAGACACGGUCCAAACUCCUACGGGAGGCAGCAGUGAGGAAUAUUGGUCAAUGGGCGCGAGCCUGAACCAGCCAAGUAAGCGUGCAGGACGACGGCCCUAUGGGUUGUAAACUGCUUUUAUGCGGGGAUAAAGUGACGUACGUGUACGUUUUUGUAGGUACCGCAUGAAUAAGGACCGGCUAAUUCCGUGCCAGCCGCAGC
rnacentral:rRNA from 1 species